rnacentral:rRNA from 1 species
GUGGGGAAUAUUGCACAAUGGGGGAAACCCUGAUGCAGCAACGCCGCGUGAGUGAUGAAGGUCUUCGGAUUGUAAAACUCUGUCUUUGGGGACGAUAAUGACGGUACCCAAGGAGGAAGCCACGGCUAACUACGUGCCAGCAGCCGCGGUAAUACGUAGGUGGCAAGCGUUGUCCGGAUUUACUGGGCGUAAAGGGAGCGUAGGCGGAUUUUUAAGUGGGGUGUGAAAUACCCGGGCUUAACCUGGGUGCUGCAUUCCAAACUGGAAGUCUAGAGUACAGGAGGGGAAAGUGGAAUUCCUAGUGUAGCGGUGAAAUGCGUAGAGAUUAGGAAGAACACCGGUGGCGAAGGCGACUUUCUGGACUGUAACUGACGCUGAGGCUCGAAAGCGUGGGGAGCAAACAGGAUUAGAAACCCUGGUAGUCC